rnacentral:hammerhead_ribozyme from 1 species
AUUCAGCUGACGCGUCCCAGAUAGGACAAAACGCGAGUCCUGGAU